rnacentral:rRNA from 1 species
CAGAUGGAUAACCGGGAGAAAUCCCGCCUAAUACAACAUAAUGCCGGGAGGGGACAUCCCCUGCCGGCCAAAGGGGGCGACCCCGGUCACGGAUGGGCAUGCGGCGCAUUAGGUAGUUGGUGGGGCAACGGCCCACCAAGCCGACGAUGCGUAGGGGUUCUGAGAGGAAGGUCCCCCACAUUGGAACUGAGACACGGUCCAAACUCCUACGGGAGGCAGCAGUGAGGAAUAUUGGUCAAUGGCCGGAAGGCUGAACCAGCCAAGUCGCGUGAGGGAAUAAGGCCCUACGGGUCGUAAACCUCUUUUGCCAGGGAGCAAUGCCGUCCACGUGUGGACGGAAGGAGAGUACCUGGAGAAAAAGCAUCGGCUAACUCCGUGCCAGCAGCCGCGGUAAUACGGAGGAUGCGAGCGUUAUCCGGAUUUAUUGGGUUUAAAGGGUGCGUAGGCGGCCUGCCAAGUCAGCGGUAAAAUUGCGGGGCUCAACCCCGUACAGCCGUUGAAACUGCCGGGCUCGAGUGGGCGAGAAGUAUGCGGAAUGCGUGGUGUAGCGGUGAAAUGCAUAGAUAUCACGCAGAACCCCGAUUGCGAAGGCAGCAUACCGGCGCCCUACUGACGCUGAGGCACGAAAGUGCGGGGAUCAAACAGGAUUAGAUACCCUGGUAGUCCGCACAGUAAACGAUGAAUGCUAGCUGUCCGGGGGGAUUGACCCCUGGGUGGCACAG